CAAGAGAUAAACGCAUUGAUCUCUUAUUUCAGUAUGUAUUAUAAUUUAUGUUUUGAUAAGCAGCAAUCUUCGUACUCAGGCAACAAGAUCGCAGAGGAUUUCGAUUGCUUUGCUUAUCAUACAUUUGACAUAGUAGUGGACUGUAUACAUAUACGUAAAUAUUUUCUGUAUGUAAAUAAGUAUGUUUUGUUUCUUGCAUUGCAUGUGCAGACAAAUCGAUCCUUUUCUAAAUACAUGUUCAUAUGGAUGAGUAUAUGUUAUUGGCUAAGUAGGUACAUACAUAUGCACGUAUUUUUUAUGUUAAAUUUUAUUACCCUGGCAGAUAUGUACUCAUGUUCAAAGAUGUUUGAACAUAUUGCCGAGGACAAAAAAGUGAUUAUUUGUGCAGAUAUACCCAUGUUCAAAGAUAUUUGAACAACGUCUGUUAAGGUGAAUGGUAAACGUACCGAACAACCUUUAGAGAGAGAGCAGAAAUUAGUCGAAUCUUCGACGGGAUCGACCACGGUACCAGUCAGAUCAUCCGGUA